AUUGAACGCUGGCGGUAUGCUUAACACAUGCAAGUCGAACGCGAAAGUUUCUUCGGAAGCGAGUAGAGUGGCGAACGGGUGCGUAACACGUAGGAAUCUACCUAAUUGUGGGGGGCAACUCGGAGAAAUUCGAGCUAAUACCGCAUAAGCCCUACGGGGGAAAGCAGGGGAUCUUCGGACCUUGUGCGAUUAGAUGAGCCUGCGUCGGAUUAGCUUGUUGGUGGGGUAAUGGCCUACCAAGGCGACGAUCCGUAGCUGGUCUGAGAGGAUGAUCAGCCACACUGGGACUGAGACACGGCCCAG
rnacentral:rRNA from 1 species